AGUACGUGAAACCGUUUAGGGGUAAACCUGAGAAACCCGAAAGGUCGAAGGGAGAAAUUCAUUCGCGUUUCGACGCAGGCGUGGGACGGAGUCCGGAGCGACGGAACACCGUUUCUCGGAACGGUAGUUUCGCGCCCUCCGUCUUUCGAACCGGCGGCGAACGCGUGCACUUUUCUCCUGGUAGGACGUCGCGAUCCGUCGGGUGUCGGUCUACGACUUGCGGUGGAGCCCGCCCGUCUCGUCUUUCGUACGUGCGGACGGACCCGCUUGUUCCGGCCGACUCGCUCGACGGUAUACGUAAGGUCGGAGGCCGCUCGUUUUUUAGGAGCGUUCGACUCGUCGCAAGCGCGCCACGUGCGUCGGCACGCGGACCCGGUGCCGCGUCCGACCUCUGGUGACUGUUGGCGACGAAGUUCUCGGACAGACCUCUUUUUUUCAAUCGAAGACCGAUCGGCGACGCUAUAGCUUUGGGUACUUUCAGGACCCGUCUUA
rnacentral:rRNA from 1 species